CAAAAAAGAACAUAGGAACUCAGAGAGCAGUCUGGGGAGGAUGUAUACAGCCUCCAGCAAAUAAUAAGCGACAAUAGAGCUUUAAGGAGAUUCCAAAAUCACACUCCAACAGAUGCCAACAUGGAGCCAUGGAUCUGAAGAGGAUGACACAGUAGAGCGGAAGAGGUUGCGUGAAUUCGAGCCGAGCAGGGAGCGAUCCAAGAUCUGAGUUUUGGGACAAGGAAAGGAAGAGGAGAUGGGGAAAAAAGAGGAAAACAACACUGGCUAUGGAAAAGGGUGGAUAAGAACCACCAGAUAUGAGCAUAAAGCCCAAGCAAAAUCACCAACAGAGGGUGAGGAGACUCUCAAACAGAGAGGGUGCAAACCAAAACGCAAGAGAGAUGGCAGAGAGAAAAGUCGACCCUCAUGAACUUAGCAGAGCAAAGAGCGAGUGAGAAAUGUCAAGGACAAUGAGCCAACGAGGUAAUUGGGUUUCUAAGAGGUACGUAACAUA